rnacentral:misc_RNA from 1 species
UGGAACUUUGUGAAUCUUUCCUUUAUUAUACACAUAGCUACCGUCAACUGCUUUAAAAGACAAAUACUUGGUUACAUCCGUAUGGAUAAGAACACGCACAAGUGUUCCAUUUGCCAUCAUGAACUUUGGAAUCAUGUCCACGUUGUAGUCCCUGCUAGAACCCAGAUGGGCAGGUGGCUUGUCAUCUCCCCUAAACCGCUUCCAAAGCUGAAUGAGAUUUAGCGAUGAAGAUUCCCCACCAUAAUAGUCAUUCCUAUCCAUGUGCAGAACCUUAAGGCCAUCGACGGAGAGAAGACCACUGAGAAUGCACUCCUUGAGACCGGUUCCUAGCACAAUAACGUCGUAUUCUUCAUCCAUGGCGAUUGAAGGUCUGGAAAAGGAAUAAAGAGCAAUCCGAGGGAAGUGGAAAUGGAUCUACAGUAAGAUUUGAUGAGCGACAAGGUCCUUGCUCACCCUAGGGCUUUCUUCCUGGAGGAG